rnacentral:rRNA from 1 species
ACGAACGCUGGCGGCGUGCUUAACACAUGCAAGUCGAACGGUGAACCGGGCUUCGGCCCGGGGAUCAGUGGCGAACGGGUGCGUAACACGUGGGCAACCUGCCCCAGACUCUGGGAUAACUCCGGGAAACCGGGGCUAAUACCGGAUACUCCGAUCGAACCUCAUGGCUCGAUCGGGAAAGCUCCGACGGUCUGGGAUGGGCCCGCGGCCUAUCAGCUUGUUGGCGAGGUAACGGCUCACCAAGGCGACGACGGGUAGCUGGUCUGAGAGGACGACCAGCCACACUGGAACUGAGAUACGGUCCAGACUCCUACGGGAGGCAGCAGUGGGGAAUCUUGCACAAUGGGCGAAAGCCUGAUGCAGCGACGCCGCGUGGGGGACGAAUGCCUUCGGGUUGUAAACCCCUUUCGGCAGGGAAGAAGCGCAAGUGACGGUACCUGCAGAAGAAGUCCCGGCUAACUACGU